CUGGACCUCAGAUCAGGCGAGGCGACCCGCUGAACUUAAGCAUAUCAAUAAGCGGAGGAAAAGCAACUAACCAGGAUUCCCCUAGUAACGGCGAGCGAAGCGGGAACAGCUCGAGCAGGCAAUCUCUGGUGUCGAUCGCCAGCGAAUUGUGGCCGGCAGAGGCGGGUGCACCAGACGCGACUCCGUCGAAGUUGACCUGGAAAGGCACGUCGGAGAGGGUGAUAGCCCCGUGCGCGGCGGAGUCGCCGAAGGCCGCUACCGCCUUCGGAGAGUCGGGUUGUUUGGGAAUGCAGCCCAAAGUGGGUGGAAAACUCCAUCUAAAGCCAAAUAACGGCACGAGACCGAUAGCGAACAAGUACCGUGAGGGAAAGGUGAAAAGCACUUUGGAAAGAGAGUUAAAAAGGCCGCGAAACCGUUGGGAGGGAAACGCAUGCAGCCGGACUGGCCCGCGUCGAGUUCAGGGGGCCGCCGGGCGUCCCGCUCGUCGUCGACACCCUCGCGGGUCGUCGGCGGGUGGCGGCGUCGGGCUCCCCUGCACUCUCGGCGGCAGGGGCCGGCCAAGUGCGGCGGAUUCCGGGCGAAGAGCACCGUCGGGCAGGUAGCGCAGCCGUCUCUGGCGGAGGCGAACUUACAGCCGUCGGUGCGGAGCGCUCGGCGUCCGCCGAGGAGAGCGGUGGCAGUUCCACCCGUGCAGCGCAGGUCCGCCUCGGCGGGCCGGGGCGCUCUCGUCCGUUCGGCGACCCGACCGCGUCACUGCACGCAGUGUCCGGGCGAGGUCCGUCCGUCCGGGAGGGAGGCCGUCCCACGCCUUGCGCUUCGGUAGCUUGGCCAGCCGUCGGCUGCAUUCGA
rnacentral:rRNA from 1 species